rnacentral:tRNA from 1 species
GCGGGUGUCGUAUAGUGGUAUUACCUCAGCCUUCCAAGCUGAUGAUGUGAGUUCGAUUCUCAUCACCCGCUCCA